AAAUAGAGAGGCAGCCAUGGUUCUUGAAGUUUAAAGAUUCGUUUCAAGUGAUUUAAUAUGUUUUGGAAAGGUAUUUCGUGGUUCUAUAACUUUCAUUCAGACUCCAAAAUCCAGUUCCACUUGUAUCAGCUUGAAAAGUGGUGAUUAAGUGUAGAGGAGGUACUGCUCAAAUUUGGUUUUGGAAAUCCUACACGGACAGCUGACGUAAAUCCUGUUUCCCUCCAUUACCCCUUCGAAACGAAGCGACAAGGUAAAACAGUAAGCUGUCCAGAUUUCACAUUUUGGAUAGUUUUGGCGAGUUUGACAAGUUUAACGUAAGGUUCGGAAGACGAAGAGACGAGCAGGAUAAAGGGUAACUCCCAAAAGGUACAGAUACAGAUUUUGGGAGUCCGUCAGCUUAGGAUUCCAUGCAGCUCAGCUGGAAGAG